GGAACCUGCACGCGAUGCGGUGCAUCGAUGGCAAGAGA
rfam:Thermovirga lienii DSM 17291, complete genome.